rnacentral:rRNA from 1 species
UUUCGCCUGUUUAUCAAAAACAUGUCUGUUUGAGAGUUUAUAAAAAGUCUAGCCUGCCCACUGAAGUAUUAAAGGGCCGCGGUAAUUUGACCGUGCGAAGGUAGCAUAAUCAUUAGCCUUUUAAUUGNAGGCUUGUAUGAAUGGUUGGAUGAGGGACAUACUGUCUUUUCCYUAUCAAUGUAAYUUAACUUCUGAGUGAAAAGGCUUAGAUUUUUUGAAAGUGACGAUAAGACCCUAUAAAACUUCAUAUCUCCUAACUUAAAUUGRUAGUUARGUUUAAAUYGAUGUUAGUUARGAGGUAUUAUAUUGGGGAAAUAUUGAUAUAAGUCGUAAUUGUCUAUARAAUUUAAUAAUUAUAAUUAGAUUAUGAUCCCUUCCUGGGGAUUAAAAGUUUAAGUUACUUUAGGGAUAACAGCGUAAUUUUCYYUGAGAGUCCUUAUCGACGGGAAUAGUUGCGACCUCGAUGUUGAAUUAAGGUUUCAGGUUGGUGUAGUCGUUAAUCUGGUAGGUCUGUUCGACCUUUAAAACCUUACAUGAUUUGAGUUCANACCGGUGUGAGCCAGGUUGGGUUUCUAU